CAAUAGCGUAUAUUAAAGUUGUUGCGGUAAAAAAGCUCGUAGUUGGAUUUCUGUUGAGAGCGACCGGUCCAUACCAUGUAUGCGUAUCUGGCUUGCUCUCGGCAUCCUCUCGAUAGACGUUACUGCGCUUGAUUGCGUGGUGCGGAUCUCGGGACUUUUACUUUGAGGAAAUUAGAGUGUUCACGGCAGGCUUUCGCCAGAAUACAUUAGCAUGGAAUAAUACUAUAGGAUCUUGGUUCUAUUUUGUUGGUUUCUAGAAUUGAGAUAAUGAUUAAUAGGGACAAUCGGGGGCAUUCGUAUCAACACGUCAGAGGUGGAAUUCUUGGAUUGUGUUGCGACGAACUACUGCGAAAGCAUUUGCCAAGGAUGUUUUCAUUGA
rnacentral:rRNA from 1 species